UACGAAGGGGGCUAGCGUUGUUCGGAAUCACUGGGCGUAAAGGGCGCGUAGGCGGCUUUGUAAGUCGGGGGUGAAAGCCUGUGGCUCAACCACAGAAUUGCCUUCGAUACUGCAUGGCUUGAGACCGGAAGAGGUAAGUGGAACUGCGAGUGUAGAGGUGAAAUUCGUAGAUAUUCGCAAGAACACCAGUGGCGAAGGCGGCUUACUGGUCCGGUUCUGACGCUGAGGCGGCGAAAGCGUGGGGAGCAAACAGG
rnacentral:rRNA from 1 species